UACGUAGGGUGCGAGCGUUAAUCGGAAUUACUGGGCGUAAAGCGUGCGCAGGCGGUUCGUUAAGUUCGUUGUGAAAGCCCCGGGCUCAACCUGGGAACUGCAUUUGAUACUGGCGUGCUUGAGGACUGGAGAGGAGACUGGAAUUCAUGGUGUAGCAGUGAAAUGCGUAGAGAUCAUGAGGAAGACCAGUGGCGAAGGCGGGUCUCUGGACAGUUCCUGACACUGAGGCACGAAGGCCAGGGGAGCAAACGGG
rnacentral:rRNA from 1 species